AUUGAACGCUGGCGGCAGGCUUAACACAUGCAAGUCGAGCGGAGAGAGGUAGCUUGCUACUGAUCUUAGCGGCGGACGGGUGAGUAAUGCUUAGGAAUCUGCCUAUUAGUGGGGGACAACAUUUCGAAAGGAAUGCUAAUACCGCAUACGUCCUACGGGAGAAAGCAGGGGAUCUUCGGACCUUGCGCUAAUAGAUGAGCCUAAGUCGGAUUAGCUAGUUGGUGUGGUAAAGGCCUACCAAGGCGACGAUCUGUAGCGGGUCUGAGAGGAUGAUCCGGCACACUGGGACUGAGACCCGGCCGAGACUCCUACGGGGGGCAGCAGUGGGGAAUAUUGGACAAUGGGCGCAAGCCUGAUCCAGCCAGGCCGCGUGUGUGAAGAAGGCCUUAUGGUUGUAAAGCACUUUAAGCGAGGAGGAGGCUACUUUAGUUAAUACCUAGAGAUAGUGGACGUUACUCGCAGAAUAAGCACCGGCUAACUCUGUGCCAGCCGCCGCCGUAAUAC
rnacentral:rRNA from 1 species